CAAGUAUAUCCUUUUUUUUGUUAUUCUUUUGUUUUCUUGACUUUCCCUGAAUUGUUACUUUUUCAUAUUCGUUCGUUCCAUCAUCCCUAAUUUUUUCCAACUAAUUGACUGUGCUGCCAUGUAUGCAUAACCAACACUACGUCGACGUUGUAUCAUUGGCUGAGGUGAGGCACACCUAUUUGUUUGCUUUCAAAAGUUUAAGGUCUAAGAUAUAUCAGGUUUUGGAGUUGCACAAAAUUGAUGACAUGGCAGCGGAACAUUCCAAACCAAAAAAUGAUGAUGUUGCAUUGUUUGAUGAUACCAUGAUGAUACUAGUACGUACGUACGUACAGCAUAUAUUGUCCACUCUUGUUCUUCUAUAUUUGUUGAGAAGCACAGCAUGAAUCCAGAUUCCUACUGAGAAACAAGCAGCUGCCUGCCUUGUUUUUAUGUUGCCACGUACUGAUUACUACAACUUGAUAUUCCUCAUGUAUGAUUGUUGCUAGCUUAAGUGCUCUAUUGAUUAUAGGUAUACUUUACAUUCGGUUAUAUACGUAUCAAUGAAGUGGUGUGAUUUUUCACCCGUUUCGCUGCGCAAGUACACUUGUAACGAAAGCUGCUUUCCUUUGCCUUUUCAGAAACCUGACAUUUUCCAGUGAAAGAAAAUGUAGGCGAGAGAGAAGAGCUAGUGACGUCUCCUUAUCAUGAUUAAAGACUGUGUAGGCACGAUGAUAUUAUUAGGUUUAACUGUUCAUG
rnacentral:lncRNA from 1 species